rnacentral:rRNA from 1 species
AAUCCUUUAACGAGGAUCAAUUGGAGGGCAAGUCUGGUGCCAGCAGCCGCGGUAAUUCCAGCUCCAAUAGCGUAUAUUAAAGUUGUUGCGGUUAAAAAGCUCGUAGUUGGAUGUCAGACUGUGGCGUGUGGGUUCCGUUUAGGCGGACUACUCACAGCUCGGUCAUAUUGGUCGAGACGUGUAUGGUUGGGCUUAAAAACUUGAUCAUGCCGCUCGGCACGUUUACUUUGAAAAAAUUAGAGUGCUCAAAGCAGGCGCGACGCCUGAAUAAUCUUGCAUGGAAUAAUGGAAUAGGACCUCGGUUCUGUUCUGUUGGUCUUCGGAAGUCCGAGGUAAUGAUUAAGAGGGACAGACGGGGGCAUUCGUAUUGCGGCGCUAGAGGUGAAAUUCUUGGACCGUCGCAAGACGAACUACAGCGAAAGCAUUUGCCAAGAAUGUUUUCAUUAAUCAAGAACGAAAGUUAGAGGUUCGAAGGCGAUCAGAUACCGCCCUAGUUCUAACCAUAAACGAUGCCAACCAGCAAUCAGACUGUGUUCAAUUAACGACACGUCUGGCGGCUUCCAGGAAACUAAAGUUUUUGGGUUCCGGGGGAAGUAUGGUUGCAAAGCUGAAACUUAAAGGAAUUGACGGAAGGGCACCACCAGGAGUGGAGCCUGCGGCUUAAUUUGACCCAACACGGGAAAACUCACCCGGCCCGGACACUAGAAGGAUUGACAGAUUGAGAGCUCUUUCUUGAUUUAGUGGGUGGUGGUGCAUGGCCGUUCUUAGUUGGUGGAGCGAUUUGUCUGGUUAAUUCCGAUAACGAACGAGACUCUAGCCUAUUAAAUAGAGUCCAUGGUCUUCGGCCCGUGGACGACUUCUUAGAGGGAUACGCGGCAACUAAGCCGCAUGAGAGAGAGCAAUAACAGGUCUGUGAUGCCCUUAGAUGUCCGGGGCCGCACGCGCGCUACACUGAAGUGAUCAGCACGCAUUCGUUUCCCGCUCCGUCAGGAGUGGGUAACCCCUUGAACCUUCUUCGUGAUAGGGAUUGGGCUUUGUAACUAUCGCCCAUGAACGAGGAAUUCCCAGUAAGUGCGAGUCAUCAGCUUGCAUUGAUUACGUCCCUGCCCUUUGUACACACCGCCCGUCGCUACUACCGAUUGAAUGAUUUAGUGAGGUCUUCGGACCGGCGGGUGCAGCUGCCUUCGGGUAGCAGUGCCAUGCUGGAAAGAUGCCCAAACUUGAUCAUUUAGAGGAAGUAAAAGUCGUAACAAGGUUUCCGUAGGUGAACCUGCGGAAG